CCUGGCGGCACUAGCGCGGUGGUCCCACCUGACCCCAUGCCGAACUCAGAAGUGAAACGUCGUAGCGCCGAUGGUAGUGUGGGGUCUCCCCAUGUGAGAGUAGGGAACUGCCAGGC
rnacentral:rRNA from 2 species